rnacentral:rRNA from 1 species
UACGUAGGGUGCGAGCGUUGUUCGGAAUUACUGGGCGUAAAGCGCGCGUAGGUGGUUCGUUAAGUUGGAUGUGAAAUCCCCGGGCUCAACCUGGGAACUGCAUUCAAAACUGUCGAGCUAGAGUAUGGUAGAGGGUGGUGGAAUUUCCUGUGUAGCGGUGAAAUGCGUAGAUAUAGGAAGGAACACCAGUGGCGAAGGCGACCACCUGGACUGAUACUGACACUGAGGUGCGAAAGCGUGGGGAGCAAACAGG